AACCUGGUUGAUCCUGCCAGUAGUCAUACGCUCGUCUCAAAGAUUAAGCCAUGCAUGUGUAAGUAUAAACAAUUUUAUACUGUGAAACUGCGAACGGCUCAUUAUAUCAGUUAUAGUUUACAUGAUAAUACCUUACUACUUGGAUAACCGUAGUAAUUCUAGAGCUAAUACAUGCAACAAUUCCCAACUUCUGGACGGGAUGUAUUUAUUAGAUAUCAACCAACCCUCUUCGGAGGUUUUUGGCGAGUCAUAAUAACUGUGCGGAUCGCAGAGGCCUUUGCGCCGGCGAUGUCUCAUUCAAGUUUCUGCCCUAUCAGCUUUCGAUGGUAGUGUAUUGGACUACCAUGGCGGUGACGGGUAACGGAGAAUUAGGGUUCGAUUCCGGAGAGGGCGCCUGAGAAAUGGCGACCACAUCCAAGGAAGGCAGCAGGCGCGUAAAUUACCCAAUCCCAAUUCGGGGAGGUAGUGACAAUAAAUAUCAAUGCGGGGCACACAGUGUCUUGCAAUAGGAAUGAGUACAAUUUAAAUCCCUUAACGAGGAUCGAUUGGAGGGCAAGUCUGGUGCCAGCAGCCGCGGUAAU
rnacentral:rRNA from 1 species